rnacentral:rRNA from 1 species
CCUACGGGUGGCUGCAGUGAGGAAUAUUGGUCAAUGGCCGAGAGGCUGAACCAGCCAAGUCGCGUGAGGGAAGACGGCCCUACGGGUUGUAAACCUCUUUUGUCGGGGAGCAAAGCGAGUCACGUGUGAAUCAUUGAGAGUACCCGAAGAAAAAGCAUCGGCUAACUCCGUGCCAGCAGCCGCGGUAAUACGGAGGAUGCGAGCGUUAUCCGGAUUUAGUGGGUUUAAAGGGUGCGCAGGCGGAGGUGCAAGUCAGCGGUCAAAUUGCGGGGCUCAACCCCGUACUGCCGUUGAAACUGCCUCCCUUGCGUGCGCGAGACGUAUGCGGAAUGCGUGGUGUAGCGGUGACAUGCAUAGAUAUCACGCAGAACUCCGAUUGCGAAGGCAGCAUACCGGCGCGCAACUGACGCUCAUGCACGAAAGCGUGGGUAUCGAACAGGAUUAGAUACCCUGGUAGUC